rnacentral:rRNA from 1 species
GUGGAUUAGAUACCCUGGUAGUCUUGGCUGUAAACGGUGCGCAUUUGCUGUAAACGGAAUCGACCCCGUUUGUGGCGAAGCUAACGCGAUAAAUGCGCCGCCUGGGAAGUACGGUCGCAAGAUUAAAACUCAAAGAAAUUGACGGGGGCCUGCACAAGCGGUGGAGUAUGUGGCUUAAUUCGAUGCAACGCGAAGAACCUUACCUGGCCUUGACAUGCAAGUGGUAGAACCAUGAAAGUGGGACGACCCCGCAAGGGGAGCUUGCACAGGUGCUGCACGGCCGUCGACAGCU